GAAUUCAACUCCUACGGGAGGCAGCAGUGGGGAAAUUUGGACAAUGGGCGCAAGCCUGAUCCAGCAAUGCCGCGUGAGUGAAGAAGGCCUUCGGGUGGUAAAGCUUUUUUGUCAGGGAAGAAACGGUAGAGGCUAAUAUCCUUUGCUAAUGACGGUACCUGAAGAAUAAGCACCGGCUAACUACGUGCCAGCAGCCGCGGUAAUACGUAGGGUGCAAGCGUUAAUCGGAAUUACUGGGCGUAAAGCGUGCGCAGGCGGUUUUGUAAGUCUGACGUGAAAGCCCCGGGCUCAACCUGGGAAUUGCGUUGGAAACUGCAAGGCUUGAAUCUGGCAGAGGGGGGUAGAAUUCCACGUGUAGCAGUGAAAUGCGUAGAGAUGUGGAGGAACACCGAUGGCGAAGGCAGCCCCCUGGGUCAAAAUUGACGCUCAUGCACGAAAGCGUGGGGAGCAAACAGGAUUAGAUACCCUAGUAGUCCAGGCGUU
rnacentral:rRNA from 1 species